AGCUCACGGAAGAGUUGAAGCAGCAUAUUACAAAGGUGCUCAUUGGACGAGAGGAUUUUAAAGAUGAAAAAUGGAGGAAGUUGGUCCUGUAUCUGCUCAUCAAGAUUAUGGAGAUGGAGAGGGGCAAGGAAGAAACUGCCACAGCAACCCCAGGCUUCAGUAGCCACCGCCCUGAUCAUCAGUCAGCAGCCGUCAGCACUGGCACAAGACCCUCCACCAGCAAAAAGAUUAUGACUCACUAAAGGCUCCGAUGAUGGUUAGUAUUUUUUAGCAAUAAAGUAUUUUAAAAUUAAGGUAUGUACAUUGUCUUUUAGAUAUAAUGCUAUUGUACACUUCAUAGACUACAGUAAAAAGUGUAAACGUAACUUUUAUAUGUACUGGGAAACUAAAAGAACUAUGUCCCUCACUUUAUUGUGGUAUUCACUUUAUUGCAUUGAUCUGGAUCUGAACCUGCGAUAUCUCCAAGGUAUGCCUGUGUAUAAACAAAUAUUCCCUAGGCAUGGUGAGCAGUCAGCUUAUUUGAACUGUCAACAUAGAUAGU